UACGUAGGGGGCUAGCGUUAUCCGGAAUUACUGGGCGUAAAGGGUGCGUAGGUGGUUUCUUAAGUCAGAGGUGAAAGGCUACGGCUCAACCGUAGUAAGCCUUUGAAACUGGGAAACUUGAGUGCAGGAGAGGAGAGUGGAAUUCCUAGUGUAGCGGUGAAAUGCGUAGAUAUUAGGAGGAACACCAGUUGCGAAGGCGGCUCUCUAGACUGUAACUGACACUGAGGCACGAAAGCGUGGGGAGCAAACAGGAUUAGAUACCCCGGUAGUCCCUGAGCGGGCU
rnacentral:rRNA from 1 species